GACGAACGCUGGCGGCGUGCUUAACACAUGCAAGUCGAACGGAAAGGCCCUGCUUUUGUGGGGUGCUCGAGUGGCGAACGGGUGAGUAACACGUGAGUAACCUGCCCUUGACUUUGGGAUAACUUCAGGAAACUGGGGCUAAUACCGGAUAGGAGCUCCUGCUGCAUGGUGGGGGUUGGAAAGUUUCGGCGGUUGGGGAUGGACUCGCGGCUUAUCAGCUUGUUGGUGGGGUAGUGGCUUACCAAGGCUUUGACGGGUAGCCGGCCUGAGAGGGUGACCGGCCACAUUAGGACUGAGGUACGGCCCAGACUCCUACGGGAGGCAGCAGUCGGGAAUAUUGCAAAAUGGGCGGAAGCCUGAUGCAGCAACGCCGCGUGCGGGAUGACGGCCUUCGGGUUGUAAACCGAUUUCGCCUGUGACGAAGCGUGAGUGACGGUAAUGGGUAAAGAAGCACCGGCUAGCUACGUG
rnacentral:rRNA from 1 species